GGAUUGGGAGGCGCAGAGGGCGGGCAGGGGAGGUUGUUCUGUUGAGUAGGUAUCUGUCUGCUCUGCAGACAGAGGGAAGAGCAGCGCCCUGAGCCUGGGAAGGCCUUGGCAUAUUGAAGGAGAGAGGUAGGGGAGAGUGGUUGGGAUGAGGUCCAUGGGGUAGCUAGGGAUCCAAGUGGAACGGGGAAGCCAUUGGACAUGCAGGGACAUGUUUUGACUUAGGUUUUAAGGGAAUUGCCCUGCGUGCUUAGUGAAGAAAAGGCUUGGUUGGGGGUAAACAUGGGAACAGGGAGGCCAGUUCGGAGCCUACUGUAAUUGUCCAGGAGGGAGAUGAUGAUGGCUUGUAGCCAUAAGCUAAAAUUGUAGGAGGUGAGAAGCAGUGGAUUCUGGAAAUACUCUGAAGUUAUGGUGGGAGUAUUUACUGUUGGAUUUGGAUGUGAGAGCAAGAAGGGAGACAGGUUUUGACUUGAGCCCAAACUGGAGGAGACGUUUACUGACAUGGGCAGCACAGGAAGAGGAGCUAACCUGGAGAUGAAAGUCAAGAAUUUGGUGUGGACAUGCCGACUUUGUGAUGCUUGUUACACAUCGGGUGGAGAUGUCAGAGAGAGAGUUGAGUGGUCAGUUAGUCUGGAACUCUGAGGGGAGGCUGGAGAUUUAGAUUCGGGUAUCAUCAGCAAAAAGGUGCAAUGUGAAGUCACAGACCUGGAUGAGGCCAUCAGAGGAGUGAGAAGAUAAGAGGUCCAAGGUACCCCAUCAUUCAUGUGCAGGAAAAGGACAGAUGCUGAGGGGAGUUCAAAGAAGUGGGAGGAAAACCAGGAGAGUGCCUUUUUUGACAGUAAUUCAAGAAAGUGACCAACUCUGUCAAGUGCAUCAAUAAGUUAGAUUAGCCCUGAGCUAACAUCUGCUGCCAAUCCGACUCUUUUCGCUGAGGAAGACUGGCCCUGAGUUAACAUCCGUACCCAUCUUAUUUAUAUGUGGGAUGCCUGCCACAGCAUGGCUUGCUAAGUGGUGCCAUGUCUGCACCCAGGAUCCGAACUGGCAAACCCUGGGCCGCCAAAGCGGAACGUGCACACUUAACCACCAGAUCACUGGGCUGGCCCCUGACUGUCUUCUUUUGAGAUAAUAACUGGAUGGCCUAUGCAAUUAGAUGAGGAAAUAUAUGAACAAACUUUACUUAAGGGAGAUAUUACAUUGUUAUCAGGCUCCCAUUGAGAUGCUUAAAUGAAAGGUUGGUAGCUUAUUCUUUUCACAGAGCUCCCAGACCUUAAGGAUCAUGGACUACAACCUGAAGAAUUUAUUUAUCAAAAGAGGCAUCAAAUGAAAGACUCUUUGCAGCCUGUUGGAAAGGACCACACCAGGAUGAGAAGAAGAUGGCAUCUAUGUAGACAGCUGUCCCAAGACUCCGGACCAGGACUGUAUUCCCAACCUUGUGUCUCCGCAUUUAAACCUUUGUUAUGCUUAAACUGUAUACCUAUUUUAUAAUUGUUCCAUUUAAGGUUUCAAAAUACUAUCAUACUUAAAGUGACUGAUUUGGAACAGACUGGUCUUGAAGGCCAGGCAUUUAUCGGGUGAUUCAUAAUGGAAUUCAAUGGUUAUGUGGAACAAAUCUCUGUCCUUGGCUACUGCCUGGAUGGCUAAAACACUGCACCCUGAGUUUCCCUUGGAUGCAGGGAAGGAUUCAGACUGAGCUAGCAUCUGUUGCCAAUCUCCCUCUCCUUAAGGCCGGAUGAGCUCAUUCAGUGUUCCACUGGUGUGACCACCGAGAAGCUAGCUUCAGUUCUUCCUCCUUUGGGGCUAGAAGAUGUCAGAUCACAUACAGAAGCCCUUCAUAGUAGUCAAGCAGGAAUAGCCCUACUAGACAAUGAAAUGUCUUUAAUGAGAAAAGCUGUCCUUCAAAAUAGAAUGGCCUUAGAUAUUCUUACAGCAUCCCAAGGUGGUACAUAUAAAUCAUUCAAACUGAAUGCUGUGUUUUUAUACUUGAGGGAUCUUCCAAUGUGUCGUCUCUGCUUAAGCACACACACACACACAAAAAGCAGGUGCAUGCCUUAAGCAAUCUUAUACCUGGUCUUGAUUUGUUUACCUGGCUCCCUUCUGGUAUUGGCUUCCUUUUGUGAUCUGGAUUGCAAUUCCUACUUCUAUUACUCCUUGGAAUUCUUGUAUUGGUCAUAAUCUUCAAACUAAUUACUGUUUUCACAGUGUUGGAUGACUGGCAUGCAAGCUAGACUAAUGAUUGCUCAGCAACUUGAGAUGGUUGAUGGAUCCUACAACCCUGAAUGAGUCCCCUUUUAUUAAGGCCAUGCCUAAGAAUUCAUUUUUAAGCUAAUCAUUUCAAGUAUUGGAUUACCUGUUCUAUGAUUGUUAUAAACAAUGUAACUAUAAUAAGUCAUGUAAAACCACAUGUGCAACGUUUGUGUGAUAAUCUAAAAUAGUUAUGUAGCCUAUGAAACACUUCCCUUAUUAAUAUAUACCUCUGUGCUUGUCCACUAUAUCUGACUAUUUCCCCUCAACAUGGAUAACUGGGCAAAUCAAUGAAAUAAAAGCCUAGCAUCGAGGGACAUGAUGGACUGAGGGCAGGCAGCAACCACCCUGGUACUGAGAGACAAUAUUUUGAUCAGCAGUGCUUUCUAUUAAAAGAUUAUUGAUCAAAAGUGGGCAAUGACAAGAGAUUUUCACAUAUUGAGGUAGAUGGGGUAACUAUUCAAGUUCAAAACUGAUUUGGCUUGAACUAGAAAGCCUGACUUAUGGCCUGUCAAACAUACAUUGUACAUCUGCUUAUCCAUUAAAGUAAGGAAUCUCUCUUGAGAUAAAGAAUGCAUACUCCCCCUCCUACGCCCUAUUGGUAACAACACCCUAUUGGUAAUGCCUGGAUUAGUCCCUUUCCUGGCAUCAUGGUUACGUUGACCUGCUAGUUUGCAACUGAACACCUCUUUGAAAAUGUAUCCUGGGUGUGUUUAAUGUAUCUUCUUUGUUCUAGAAAGAUCUGAGACUAUACUGAGACUCAUGCUUCUCUGGAACAAAUGCCUUCUAAGGUCUUCCCAGGUUAUGAUCCUCACUUUGGCUCAUAAUAAACUCACCCCAGUUUUGAUUUAUAGGGCGUUUAUGGAUUAUUUGCAUGACAGUUACAUGCCUCCAGGGCAGAGCCCUUCCCUCUGUUCCAGACUAUGAUUCUUUAAUGCACGUAGAUGAGCU
ensembl:lncRNA